GCACCUUCUCUGUGGAGUUUCUCCAGCUUUCACAUUGUGGGCAGAGCCUAAUUUUGGAGCUCCAAGAACAGAUGCUCAAGAUGACAUCUCUACUCGGAAUGGUGGCUUUGCAAACUGAUGUGAAUGUACUUGGUAGUCAUCUUGAGAUGCUGACGUUACAAAUCUGCCCUUCCAAUCAUCUGAACUCAAUGUGAUACCUUUUGGCCCAGUUCAGCAAACACUGUGAAUGCAUAUGCUUGUAGAGCAAAGAGUCUACCCAGCUUAAGUCAAAAGUAGAUCAAAAGAACAAGAGGUUUGUAUUAAGAGUUGGACCCAGAUUUAUUUUCUGAACAUGAUUAUUCUCAAUUUCUAACCUUGUCUAAUGCUAUUGGAAUCUACAUUUCUACAUGGCAUUCUCUCUGCUUUCAUAGACUAAUUUAUCCUAGGAAUCUUUUUAAUCAUGUUGCCCACAAGAAAUAUGUGCAAUUCUCUUUUCAUUAAAAAUAAUUGAGAUCUACCUUUGUGUGAAUGCUCAUGUUCCAUCCUUUG
rnacentral:lncRNA from 1 species